rnacentral:rRNA from 1 species
UAAUACGAAGGGGGCAAGCGUUGCUCGGAAUCACUGGGCGUAAAGGGCGCGUAGGCGGACGUUUAAGUCAGGGGUGAAAUCCCGAGGCUCAACCUCGGAAUUGCCUUUGAUACUGGAUGUCUCGAGACCGGAAGAGGUGAGUGGAACUGCGAGUGUAGAGGUGAAAUUCGUAGAUAUUCGCAAGAACACCAGUGGCGAAGGCGGCUCACUGGUCCGGUUCUGACGCUGAGGCGCGAAAGCGUGGGGAGCAAACAGGAUUAGAUACCCUGGUAGUCCACGCCGUAAACGAUGGAUGCUAGCCGUUGGCGAGCUUGCUCGUCAGUGGCGCAGCUAACGCUUUAAGCAUCCCGCCUGGGGAGUACGGUCGCAAGAUUA